rnacentral:misc_RNA from 1 species
CUAAGGAGAAAGGCAUGAAAAUGCAAAACUCUUUCACUCAUCAUAUUCAGUUUUGAGAGACUUUUAGUUUCUCUGAAACACAUAGAUUCAAAUGAAGUCUUUGAAAAGUAGAUAAAUGUUGUCAAAAAGGAAAACAAGGUU